UUACUAAUUUUGAGGUGGUCUUUUUAGUGAUUACCAAAUCACUAAAAAGACCGCCUCAAAAUUAGUAAGU
rnacentral:miRNA from 1 species